rnacentral:lncRNA from 1 species
AGAACUUAGGGCCUCACGUUUUGAACCUGUUAUCUAAUAGGAGUGAAGCUACUUACAGCAGUAACUGCCCGUGCAUGAAAGGAAGCGCAGUUUCUGUGAUCCAAAAAUGGAUAGGCUGUCAGUGCCCAUUGCUGCUAUACCAAGGAAGAAUGCUACAUGAUGUUUUCUUUUCUCUACUUAGGCAAGUUGAUUUGACAGCAAUGAGGGUGCUAAAAAGCUUAACUGCUUUUUCAGUUUCAUAAGAAAAUUACAUAACUUCUUGCGCUAAUACAAAAUAGAUAAUGUAUUUCCUAUUUCAGAAUCUUUUUUUUCUUCUGGUGUUUGUUUUGGUAUUGAUUUUUUUUUUUUUUUCCCCAAUCGUUAUCAGAAUUAACUCUAGUAAUUCCAUUUAGAUGAUGUAUUUCUGGUAGAAUUCUUGGAAUCAAACUCAUCAAAUUGCUUUUUUAAUGACAGUUUGCCUCCGAGGUGUUAGUUGGUGAGGCUGUGCAAUAUGUUUUAGAAAAUACAUUACUUUCCCUGGGAAAUGGUUUAUUCAUACAGUAAUAACAAAAAUGCAUUUCAUUGUCAGGGUCUGCAUAUAAUUCAGAUGUGGAUCCUCUGCAAAUCUUCUUUUGUACAAGCAGUGAGAAUAUGAUCUACCAGCAAAAUGACUCCUUGGCACUGACUUGGAGAUAAUGGGGAGAGUAUUUUCAGCGGAGAAGCAAUUUCUCUAGAGAAAGAACUAUCUGGAGGGUAUGGAGAGAUGCAGCUUUAGAAGAUGCUAUUCACAAGAAAAAAAAACAUAUUUGUAUGAAGUUUGCUCUAGUCACAAAGUGAAGGAGCUGAACACAAAUGGCAACAGUAACCUCUCAAGACACUUUUGGCUGAAGUCUACAUAUGUUGUUCAGGCCACUGGAAAUCAUCUCCCCGAGAGAUCAAUACUUUGCCUCAGUAUGCUGAUUGAGUUAGCCUUCAAAAAUACACAGAAGGAAAUAAAAGCCACAGACAGCUAACAAAUCCAGCUAAGCCAUGAAUGAGUCAACAUGUCCGUUAAGAUGCAUUGACUUUCCGUCCAUUUACAUUUAGAGGUAAGUACACAUUGUAAAUGAGAAAUUGUUAAGCAGGUGAAAUUAUUCACCACACUGCCGUACAGCAAGCUAAUUUUGUAUACUACUUUCUGAGAGUCUAUCUUGAGUAUUCUUGCCAUGAAACAAAUGUAACUGUCUUAGAUGUCGUUUAACAGAGCUAGCUUCUUACCAGUUGUAGAAAGUUAGUACGUCGAAUGUGUAAUUCUUUGUAUAAACUCUGAAUUAUAUCAGGAUUUUUUUUAUCUACUUUUGCCUUCCCCUGUACUCAAACUCAUAAAUAAGCAUUUUGUUAGAAUAUUUUCCUGUAUGUUUCCUAAACACAGUUGGAAUACGUUAUUCUAUAAGGCAUUAUAUUGACAAUUCAUGCUAUAGCAGCAAUAUAACAGUAAUUAUACUAACAAUA